UAAGUAAGACAGACGGUCGCGGCUGCGGCUGCCCUUUGUGGCAGCUGUCAGGUGAGGAAAGUCCGGGCUUCACAGGGCAGGAUGCCGGAUAACGUCCGGUGGAGGCGACUCCAAGGCCAGUGCAACAGAAAUAUACCGCCAGUUCCUAUGUGGAGUGGAGGAAACGGCGAAGCCGGUUCUUCCGGCUGCAUGUUUCAUGCAGCCUGGUAAGGGUGGAAAGGCAGUUUAAGAGACUACCGUCCGGCUGGUAACAGCCGGAGCCAUGUAAACCCCAUCCGAAGCAAGACCAAACAGAAAGCGACAGGCUUGCCCGGCCUGCUUUCAGGUGGGUCGCUUGACGCGGCUGGCAACAGCCGUGCUAGAUAGAUGACCGUCCAACGACAUAACCCGGCUUAUCGUUUUGCUUACCAA
rnacentral:RNase_P_RNA from 1 species